AUUGAAACACCAGCUCCUGUACAAUUACUGAAGUUAAGCAAUGUUGAGCCUGGUCAGUACCUAGAUGGGUGAUUGCUUAGGAAUGUUAGGUGCUGUAAG